CUUUAUGAUGAACACUUCGUACACCAUAGGGAUUCCUCAUGCAGAAUACAUAAUGUUGAAUCCGGUGCAAUAGUUUCAGCCUUGUCUGAUC
rfam:Colletotrichum chlorophyti strain NTL11 CCHL11_scaffold263, whole genome shotgun sequence.